UUAAUUGAAGCCAAAAAGAGGCAUAUUACUGUUAAUAAUAAAAUUGAAUUUAAUUCCAAUUAAA
rnacentral:tRNA from 1 species